UUUGUAACCAGAAUAGAGGAGGUCUCAUGGAAAUUUGAAUGGAGAAAAAUGGAGAGAGAACUCAAUCACAUGGAGUGCAGUAGGAGCCAUGUACCAAACUGAAAAGGCUGUAGUCACAUCAGACAAUAGCUGAAGAAUGUGAGAAAGAAAAAUCAAAAGCACACAAAUGAGACUGUGCAGUGAAGAGGCCACAGAGACAACCAUACUGUCUUUUUGUAUCACAAUAAGCAAAAAACAGCGUCUCAGUAUGUUGCUCAGGCUGUUCUUGAACUCCUGGGCUCAAAUCAUCUCCCACCUCAGCCUCCCAAACUGCUGGGUUUACAGGCAUGACCAACUGCACCCAGG
rnacentral:lncRNA from 10 species